AACGAACGCUGGCGGCGUGCCUAACACAUGCAAGUCGAGCGCGAAAAGGGCAACCUGAGUAGAGCGGCGCACGGGUGCGUAACACGUGGGUAAUCUGCCUUAGAGUCGAGGAUAACCUUCCGAAAGGUUGGCUAAUACUCGGUAAGCUUACGGUGUCUUCGGACGCUGUGGGAAAAGUAGGCCUCUGUUUACAAGCUUACGCUCUGAGAUGGGCCCGCGGCCCAUCAGCUAGUUGGCGGUGUAACGGACCACCAAGGCAACGACGGGUAGCUGGUCUGAGAGGACGAUCAGCCACACUGGAACUGAGACACGGUCCAGACUCCUACGGGAGGCAGCAGUGGGGAAUUUUCCACAAUGGGCGAAAGCCUGAUGGAGCAACGCCGCGUGUGUGAUGAAGGUUUUCGGAUCGUAAAGCACUUUCGACUGGGACGAAAAACCUUUGGCUAACAUCCAGGGGCCUGACGGUACCAGGAGAAGAAGCACCGGCUAACUCUGUGCCAGCAGCCGCCGUAAAAC
rnacentral:rRNA from 1 species